UUUCGGUUCAUCUUACCGGAGACCUAGAAAUCUGAAAACGUUACAGAAUCUGGCUAAAUUCAGGCGUGUCUUUAACGCAAUCAUUAACGAUAGCUUCAACUCCUAUCACGAUUCAUCAAUGAAUGGAUCCUCUUAACUUUCUUUCUCUGAAUCUUAGACUAUAAAAAGGCGGAGAUAAGAAGAAGAUAGAAUGGAGGAAAGAUCAGAUCCGUUGCUAAAGUUUGAUUACGAUGCGUUUUAGAAAGGUCUGGGAAUAUUCUACGACAGCUAACGUUAUCUCCAGAGAUAGCUCGGUGGGUUUGAUCUCAAGCUCUAUAUUGUAAUAUGUUUCUUCGUUCACGUUGAAUCAAAUAACAGAGGUCGGAUAACGGUGGCUCUGUCGUAUCAGUUUGCUAUCUAUAAAAGCUACAUAUACAGAAGAUCUGCACACCUUACGCAUGGUUGCUGGAGCUAUUUUUGAUCUUUGUGGCAGGAUGAGUCGAGCUUCUUCUUACAGCGUUCGUAGGGGUGGGCGUUCGGAUACCCGUUCGGGUUCGGGUCGGGUAUUUCGGAUUUUCG